CUGGGAUUUUUUAGAGGUGACACGAACUUGCUAUAAGGAUUAACUUGGAUUGCCUUUUGUGGUGCAAUAUUUAAAGAGCAUACUGCUAAAAGGACAUAGCAAUGGAGUGGAGGAUUAUAGUACCUGUUCUGUGUCUAAUUGGAAUCCUACAUGUGCAAGGAAAUGCUGCUCAGUCCAACAGUUCCACCAGCAUCAACAACAACACCAUCACUGGUCAGUGUGUGUUUACAGAUUUAUC